UCCACACCAGAGUCACAUCUGGAAACAAAUAUUUGUAUUUGACUCAAACCUAUGUGCUCCCAUGAAAGCUUUGGAUCUGCUAUGAUGGUCAAGGAGUUGAGCUUUUUUUUCUAGUCUCAGCUUUGAGGAAAAAUUUAUUCUACGAAACAAUAAGGAUUUGCUAUCUUGAUUUUUUUGUCAAUCUAUGCGGUGAGUGCACUACGAGUGUUCCCCUUUUGGGUGUCGCAGAUCCGAGAGACUUUUGUGCCAAUGAUACAAUUCAUCAUUUUUCUUCUCUGGUACCGAUUUAUCUUGAUUUACUCACUCCCCUAUAACUUAUUUAAUAGAUAUGACAUUGUAGGUUGAAUCUGUGUUGAAGCAUUAGCUCAAUCGUUCACUUGUGUAUUUGAUGUUGGUCUUUAGUUAAAUCCCUCACCUUUGUAUUUUGUCGGUGUAUGACCAUCCGACAAAAAAAAAUUGUACUUGUAGUCUUAUGAUGAUGUGUUCCUCUCCUUCCCUAAUAUUCUGAUUUAUAUUUUUAGUUUUUAUCCUUUUGUUGGACAUUUGUUGCUAGAGAAAAUUCAAAAUAUCUCUGUUUUAUUUGGUAAUGUUAUAAAUGUAGUAAAAAUGAUUAUUUCUUUC